AGGGAUGAAGGCCUUCGGGUUGUAAACCUCUUUCAGCAGGGAAGAAGCGAGAGUGACGGUACCUGCAGAAGAAGCACCGGCUAACUACGUGC
rnacentral:rRNA from 1 species